rnacentral:rRNA from 1 species
GUCGAGAAUUUUUCACAAUGGGGGAAACCCUGAUGGAGCGACGCCGCGUGGAGGAUGAAGGCCCUUGGGUUGUAAACUCCUGUCAUGUGGGAACAAGAAAGUGAUAGUACCACAAGAGGAAGAGACGGCUAACUCUGUGCCAGCAGCCGCGGUAAUACAGAGGUCUCAAGCGUUGUUCGGAUUCAUUGGGCGUAAAGGGUGCGUAGGCGGCAGUGUAAGUCCGGUGUGAAAUCUCGGGGCUCAACCCCGAAACUGCAUUGGAUACUGCAUUGCUAGAGGACUGUAGAGGAGAUUGGAAUUCACGGUGUAGCAGUGAAAUGCGUAGAUAUCGUGAGGAAGACCAGUGGCGAAGGCGAAUCUCUGGGCAGUUCCUGACGCUGAGGCACGAAGGCCAGGGGAGCAAACGGGAUUAGAAACCCCAGUAGUCC